rnacentral:rRNA from 1 species
UACGUAGGUGGCAAGCGUUGUCCGGAUUUAUUGGGUUUAAAGGGUGCGUAGGCGGCUUUGUAAGUCAGUGGUGAAAUAUGGCAGCUCAACUGUCAGGGUGCCAUUGAUACUGCGGAGCUUGAGUACAGAUGAGGUAGGCGGAAUUGACGGUGUAGCGGUGAAAUGCUUAGAUAUCGUCAAGAACACCGAUAGCGAAGGCAGCUUACUGGGCUGUAACUGACGCUGAGGAGCGAAAGCAUGGGGAGCGAACAGG